CCUACGGGAGGCAGCAGUGGGGAAUAUUGGACAAUGGGCGAAAGCCUGAUCCAGCCAUGCCGCGUGUGUGAAGAAGGCCUUCGGGUUGUAAAGCACUUUCAGUGGGGAAGAAAGCCUUGGGGCUAAUACCCUCGAGGAAGGACAUCACCCACAGAAGAAGCACCGGCUAACUCCGUGCCAGCAGCCGCGGUAAUACGGAGGGUGCGAGCGUUAAUCGGAAUUACUGGGCGUAAAGCGCGCGUAGGCGGUCUGAUAAGCCGGUUGUGAAAGCCCCGGGCUCAACCUGGGAACGGCAUCCGAAACUGUCAGGCUAGAGUGCAGGAGAGGAAGGUAGAAUUCCCGGUGUAGCGGUGAAAUGCGUAGAGAUCGGGAGGAAUACCAGUGGCGAAGGCGGCCUUCUGGACUGACACUGACGCUGAGGUGCGAAAGCGUGGGUAGCAAACAGGAUUAGAUACCCUUUAGUC
rnacentral:rRNA from 1 species